rnacentral:rRNA from 1 species
AGUGGGGAAUAUUCGACAAUGGGGCAACCCUGAUCCAGCCAUGCCGCGUGUGUGAAGAAGGCCUUCGGGUUGUAAAGCACUUUCAGCUGUGAGGAAAGGCGAGUGGUUAAUACCCGCUUGCUGUGACGUUAACAGCAGAAGAAGGACCGGCUAACUCCGUGCCAGCAGCCGCGGUAAUACGGAGGGUCCGAGCGUUAAUCGGAAUUACUGGGCGUAAAGCGCGCGUAGGUGGUUCAGUCAGUCAGAUGUGAAAGCCCCGGGCUCAACCUGGGAACUGCACCUGAUACUGCUGAGCUAGAGUACGGUAGAGGGUAGUGGAAUUUCCGGUGUAGCGGUGAAAUGCGUAGAGAUCGGAAGGAACACCAGUGGCGAAGGCGACUACCUGGACCGAUACUGACACUGAGGUGCGAAAGCGUGGGUAGCAAACAGGAUUAGAUACCCUGGUAGUCCACGCCGUAAACGAUGUCAACUAGCCGUUGGGGGACUUGAUCCUUUAGUGGCGAAGCUAACGCGAUAAGUUGACCGCCUGGGGAGUACGGCCGCAAGGUUA